rnacentral:rRNA from 1 species
AUUGAACGCUGGCGGCAGGCUUAACACAUGCAAGUCGAGCGGGGUGAUGGUGCUUGCACUAUCACUUAGCGGCGGACGGGUGAGUAAUGCUUAGGAAUCUGCCUAUUAGUGGGGGACAACAUCUCGAAAGGGAUGCUAAUACCGCAUACGUCCUACGGGAGAAAGCAGGGGAUCACUUGUGACCUUGCGCUAAUAGAUGAGCCUAAGUCGGAUUAGCUAGUUGGUGGGGUAAAGGCCUACCAAGGCGACGAUCUGUAGCGGGUCUGAGAGGAUGAUCCGCCAAACUGGGACUGAGACACGGCCCAGACUCCUACGGGAGGCAGCAGUGGGGAAUAUUGGACAAUGGGGGGAACCCUGAUCCAGCCAUGCCGCGUGUGUGAAGAAGGCCUUAUGGUUGUAAAGCACUUUAAGCGAGGAGGAGGCUCUUUUGGUUAAUACCCAGAAUGAGUGGACGUUACUCGCAGAAUAAGCACCGGCUAACUCUGUGCCAGCAGCCGCAGUAA